rnacentral:rRNA from 1 species
UACGGAGGGAGCUAGCGUUGUUCGGAAUUACUGGGCGUAAAGCGCGCGUAGGCGGCUUUGUAAGUUAGAGGUGAAAGCCCGGGGCUCAACCCCGGAACUGCCUUUAAGACUGCAUCGCUUGAAUCCGGGAGAGGUGAGUGGAAUUCCGAGUGUAGAGGUGAAUUUCGUAGAUAUUCGGAAGAACACCAGUGGCGAAGGCGGCUCACUGGACCGGCAUUGACGCUGAUGUGCGAAAGCGUGGGGAGCAAACAGG